CAGCAGUCGCCACGGGAAUACGUAGGGUGCAAGCGUUAAUCGGAAUUACUGGGCGUAAAGCGUGCGCAGGCGGUUAUAUAAGACAGAUGUGAAAUCCCCGGGCUCAACCUGGGAACUGCAUUUGUGACUGUAUAGCUAGAGUACGGCAGAGGGGGAUGGAAUUCCGCGUGUAGCAGUGAAAUGCGUAGAUAUGCGGAGGAACACCGAUGGCGAAGGCAAUCCCCUGGGCCUGUACUGACGCUCAUGCACGAAAGCGUGGGGAGCAAACAGGAUUAGAUACCCCCGUAGUCCCUGUCUCUUAUAC
rnacentral:rRNA from 1 species